rnacentral:lncRNA from 1 species
AGGAGCAAUAUAUUGGAAGGGGAGGAGAGUCCCUAGGUGGCUGCAGACAGCAAGCCCAUGUUGAAACCAUUCCGCCCUCCUAGAUCUCCAGGAGGGGAGGCCUCCAAGAUACAUACUCUGCUAUUUUGUUCCAUGGCCUCAAUGAGAUAAUGAUAAUUUGCUUGCAUAUUCCUCCUGCAUUUCAUUGUUCUCACCAUUCAGUUCUAAGCUGAGAUUGCCCAAUUUCUAUUUGUAGACAUGAACAUUCCUUUAAGAUGCACAUUCCUGGAGGGAUCCCAAGAUGGCCGAAUAAGAGGCUCUUCCAGAAAGCAGCUCGCAUUGAGAGAGACACAGAAACCGAGUGGUCCCCAGAAUUUCAAAUGAGGAGGAGAUAACUUCAGGGCCAUCUAAAAUUUUGCAGAAAGGAACGAAUGCUUUUAAGACAUUGCAGCAAGUUGCUGAUGCCCAGCAGUCUGGUUGCUCAAGACGUUAUCUGAGACUGAAGAAACACAACUUUUCCCCUCUGUUCCCUGAAACUUCCCCUCCCUUACUUUCUAUCCAAAUAAAAAUUCCCUGCUUUAUCUCUUUGUUAAAACAGAGCUGAGAGAUUUUGCUUUCUUGCCUCCUCACUUUGGUCGAAUGGAAUACAUUUUUCUCUUAUCACCAAGCACCCAUGUCUUAGUGUAUGAUUUUAGCUGUGCAUGAGGUACAGAAGCCUGAAUUUGGG